rnacentral:rRNA from 1 species
CAGUAGCCGCGGUAAUACGGAGGGCGCGAGCGUUACCCGGAUUUACUGGGCGUAAAGGGCGUGUAGACGGCCUGGGGCGUCCCAUGUGAAAGGCCACGGCUCAACCGUGGAGGAGCGUGGGAUACGCUCAGGCUAGAGGGUGGGAGAGGGUGGUGGAAUUCCCGGAGUAGCGGUGAAAUGCGCAGAUACCGGGAGGAACGCCGAUGGCGAAGGCAGCCACCUGGUCCACUUCUGACGCUGAGGCGCGAAAGCGUGGGGAGCAAACCGGAUUAGAUACCCCGGUAGUCCCUGUCUCUUAUAA